rnacentral:lncRNA from 1 species
CCAAUUAACAUGGAACACUUACCAACGGAAAAGGGGCCUGAUUAUCCUCGGGCUAAUCUGCCUGUCUUCCACCACUUCCUUUUGCUGCCAUGCCUGACCCAUAUUAUGCUAUGUUCGUGAAAGAUUAAUAAGCAUGUAUUGUAUUAGUAAGCAUGUACUGAAACUGUGUAAUACAAUGUUAUCCCCACUGAAUGCUUUGCUUCACAGACAAGUAUAACUGCAUUUUCAUUCUCUUUUUUUCCAAUGAUCACAGAGUGGAACUCUGCAAAGAGAGAUAUUAUUGCUUCCAGUCAAUGCUCAAAAUCACUGGGUUAUUGUGGUCUUUCCUCUAUCAACGAAAUGGAAAACUGAAGGAGAAUUGGAAAACCAAAAUACUGGACCACCACAGACAAAUUGAUGGGCAUAACUGCGGACCACUAAUCCUAAAGAGAGCGUGGAGGACUACUGCCUACACUGCAAUUAUCUAACUUGCAAAAAAAUACAUGAAGAUGGAAUAAUGGUAAGGGGAAAAAAAGGUAUGAUAUAUUGGAACAGAUCUGUAAGGAGAAGGCAGUACAAGAACAAAACUCAUGGCUGAAGACAAACAGUUGCAUAUUAUCCAAACAUAAUUACCUGCCUAAAGAUCACGAUUAUUGUAAUAAUUCCACAGUAGCAAAUAUUUCCACUGCUGCUGAUAGUCAGAUCUUGAUUAAUGAUAAUAUGUUGAAGGAAUAUUAGUUAUUAACUUUUACAUUAGUUGAAGUUAUCUGUACAAUUAUUAUUUUUUGGAUUUCACAUUCUCACUUCUUACUUAUCAAAAGUGCAGUGCGACUCUUGCGAGAGGUGGGCACACAUAGCCUGCCUUCCCGAGGGAAUCACUGAAGAAAACCUGAAUGCUGAGGAGAAAGGGUACAGAUGCAUCAAGUGUGCAUAGUUCAGUUAUUUAACUAAAAUGUACAUUGAAUAAGGAAUUUGCUAAGAGCAGUAUUUUUGUUUUCUUCAGCAAACACUUCUGAAAUAUAAAUGAGAAGAGAAGUGUAACCUUACAUUAAAUUUCAGUAAAGAAAAAAAGCAUUAACUAUCUAUAAAUAUGUUCAGAUUAUUUUUUAUAAAAAUAGUUGAAAUGAAACCUACAAUGUUCUUGUUUCCAUCUCUUGUUACAAUAGGGAAGGUUUUAUAUUUUUAAAAAUACCUCAGUAUAGUUGUGUCCACAUUUUCAAUGGAGAUUUCACAAUGGUAACAAAUUAUGACAGGGCAUCAAUCAUCCAUAAAGGUUUGUUACCUCUGAAAUUUCUCAUACUGUGCUCUCAGGCUGAUGCCCUAUGACAUACAAAGCAAAUGGGGCCAGAGGUACCCCCUCGGUCAUACUUUGGUACCCCUAGACCAGAAGUGUUGCAUGGGUUUUUGUUCAUUUCAUUCUCAACAUAGUCAUUUGGAUGUUUAUCACAACAUUUUAUGC